rnacentral:sRNA from 2 species
AAUAAAAAACGGCCUAAUUUCCUAUUGGAAAACGGGGGAACCACUCUGGGUGAAUUGAUUCCGACGUCUGACAUUUUGUCAGCGCCUGAGGAGUCAUAGGGAGCCUUCAACCGAACCCCACAGCUAACCUCGUCGGCAUUGGAAGGAGUUUCA